AUACAAUGAUGUGGACACCUUCUCAUCAAUUCUUUGUAUCUUUCCCAAGCUUUAUACAAAGAUUCUCCUUCUUACUGCACAAAGGAUGUAAUUUCUCACUCUCAGCUU